AUGCAAAGAGUCAAAAGUGAGACUUCCAUGGACCCCCCCGCCAACGCAGCAGCCAAAAAGGUAUUGGGUCAUUCGAUGGACAACGUCUCAAGGAAGUCAUUCAGAGAUGAGUGUCACGAGGUUCCGUUGGAGACUCACGUCUCAAAGAAGAGAUCUCUUCUAUCUACAGACAUGAUCGGUGUGUCUUUGGACACCGGCUCCAGGCAGAUGAUGAGAGAGAGCAGGGGAGAAGCCUCAUUCAACAACUCCAUGAGAGGAAGACCCAGAGAAGAAAUGGUGGCGGCCGUUGGAACCCCAACGAGAAGGAUAUCCCGAGAGGAGGAGGACUUCUUAGCCGACAGCGCUCAGAGGAGGAUGGCGAUGGCCAGAGACAAACUGACCCUUCAUCUGGACAGCAACUCUUCUCACAAGAUGCUGAGGAAGAAGAUGGAGUUCUCAGUGGAACCACCAUCUGCCGCCACGAGGAAGAUAUCGAUAGACGAACACCAUGAGAUGUGCUCUCACACUAGCAGACGAACAAACAGCGAUAAGAUUGACAGAUCCAUAGACACUCCCACUGGGAAGAUCUACCCGGACAGGGUCGACAGUACCCCAGAAAUCCCCAAACGGAGGAUAUCCAGGGAGGAGUAUGCGGGGUCGUCCCAGUUGGGUCACGAUCCCCAGGUUUUGGAUUGGGGUCAGUUCGGACAACCUGAUCUCACCUUGUCCACACCAUGGAAACAAACCCAGACCCCUGACCCUUAUACCCCUAACCUGACCGAACUUGUGUAUGACGGUAUUCUGGAGAAGUCCUGUAUCACCCCAGCAACGACCCCUGACCUGCCCCAAAGGAUCACGGAAGGAAGAGAGCGAGAAGGGAAUCCUCCUGUUCCGCCCCCGAGGAGCUGCCGGUCCCUAAACACGUUGCCCCCGGAGAUGAGAGGCGAGAGGCACCAAAAGGACAAAGACAAAAGCACGAAGUCGUCCAAACUCAAGAGCCUUUUUAAGAAGAGGAAAGAUCAUACCCCAGAACUGCCACAAGGGGGCCUGAACAAUCUCUGA
rnacentral:lncRNA from 1 species